rnacentral:lncRNA from 1 species
UCAUGAGCAAUUUGAAUAUGUUUUGUUUGCCCUUGCAAAAGGAUGACGGCGCAUUGUUUUAGGCAAUUCUAUUUAAGAAGUGUCCUUUUUAACACUGGUUAGGUUGAGAGUGAGGGUCGAAGCAGGCAGACGGUUGGCAGGAGAGAAUAAGUCGUGAACCACCAUAGAAAUGGGGCUGAUAGAGAGCUAUUGUGUCAUCCGGGCUCUUCUUUGGCAACUGAAAGACAGACAGGUCCAUUCACUGCAAGCAUUUCUCCUGCGCAAGCCGCCACGCUGAAGGUAAAGCAUCUCCUGUCGAGGAGUCAGUCAGUCCUGCCGGGGCUGAUUCAUUUACUUCUGAGAGCAACAUAGUUUAGAAAAAAACAGAUUUUUUUUUCUAUGAGGAAAAUGUUUUUCUGUUUAAUUGUGCUUUAGAAUUACACCAUCUUCCUCUGCCCUGUCCACUACCACCACGCAAGAAGUAAAAGCCAUGUUUAAAAUAGUAAUAAAUGAGAUGGAAACGUAUCACCAAGGGGGUCUGCCAUCAUUCCUGGUCAGGAGAAGUCACCUAGAGUUGUUGAUGUAGCCCUUAUCUGGCCAUCAUGGCUCAUAAAGGCAGUCCCCCUGGUACUGUCAGUUUCUUUGUCACAUGUCCUGUUAUUGAGGGAGUCAUAAGGAGAUGGAUGGGCUAAAUCUAAUCAAUCAGUCCUUGCCAUUUUAGCCUUCCC